UCCCUCUCAGGAUCGCAUCUGGAGAGUUUCCAGUACUCUACUAGUCUCGGCUACAGGAGGAAAAGUGAGGUCUUCCCAUUCCAUUCCUGGCUUGGCCAUUGGCUAGAGAGUGGAGGGCAACCUACUACAAGU